CAUAACCGAGCAGCAGCCCGAAAGAGACGCCAGUCGCGCUCUAACUGUUCACGGAGGAAGACGAUUCGGCGCUGCAUCUGGGCUUCUGACGACCAUUUACAAACGAAAACAUCAACACUAGGAUCGUUUCAAGGAAAUCUUCCUACUUGCGUGAACGCUAUUAAGCUUCCUUGCCUGCGGCGUAGAGACCACCCAUCCUCCAAUCAGCCGCGAGCUCCCGGGAAACGUCAAUUGUCUC